rnacentral:hammerhead_ribozyme from 1 species
AUCCAGUUGACGAGUCUCAAAUAAGACGAAACGCGCGUCAAACUGCAU